rnacentral:rRNA from 1 species
CGGGGGACAACAUUUGGAAACGAAUGCUAAUACCGCAUAACAACUUUAAACACAAGUUUUAAGUUUGAAAGAUGCAAUUGCAUCACUCAAAGAUGAUCCCGCGUUGUAUUAGCUAGUUGGUGAGGUAAAGGCUCACCAAGGCGAUGAUACAUAGCCGACCUGAGAGGGUGAUCGGCCACAUUGGGACUGAGACACGGCCCAAACUCCUACGGGAGGCAGCAGUAGGGAAUCUUCGGCAAUGGACGAAAGUCUGACCGAGCAACGCCGCGUGAGUGAAGAAGGUUUUCGGAUCGUAAAGCUCUGUUGUAAGAGAAGAACGUGUGUGAGAGUGGAAAGUUCACACAGUGACGGUAACUUACCAGAAAGGGACGGCUAACUACGUGCCAGCAGCCGCGGUAAUACGUAGGUCCCGAGCGUUGUCCGGAUUUAUUGGGCGUAAAGCGAGCGCAGGCGGUUUAAUAAGUCUGAAGUUAAAGGCAGUGGCUUAACCAUUGUUCGCUUUGGAAACUGUUAAACUUGAGUGCAGAAGGGGAGAGUGGAAUUCCAUGUGUAGCGGUGAAAUGCGUAGAUAUAUGGAGGAACACCGGUGGCGAAAGCGGCUCUCUGGUCUGUAACUGACGCUGAGGCUCGAAAGCGUGGGGAGCAAACAGGAUUAGAUACCCUGGUAGUCCACGCCGUAAACGAUGAGUGCUAGAUGUAGGGAGCUAUAAGUUCUCUGUAUCGCAGCUAACGCAAUA